CAAGAAGUUCAUCUGGUUCUCCACGCUUGUCUUCUGCUUAGACAUGCGUGGAGAACCAGAUGAACUUCUUGGUGAAAGCGGAGGUGCACUGCCAGCAGGAAACAUGGAAGGCAAUGAAUUGCCCCCACCAGCGCUUGUAUUAACAGAGAUCCCAAAGAAGUUAACGGGAUUGCCAAUCUUCGCAUCAUCAAUUAAAGAUUUCACCAGUCGACUGGUUCCUGGAAGUGACAGCCAUUGAGAGAACAAUUCCUCAGCAAUCUGA
rnacentral:misc_RNA from 1 species